UAAUUCUAGAGCUAAUACAUGCUAAAAACCCCAACUUCGGGAGGGGUGUAUUUAUUAGAUAAAAAACCAAUGCCCUUCGGGGCUCUUUGGUGAUUCAUGAUAACUUAACGGAUCGCAUGGCCUUGCGCCGGCGACGGUUCAUUCAAAUUUCUGCCCUAUCAACUUUCGAUGGUAAGGUAUUGGCUUACCAUGGUUUCAACGGGUAACGGGGAAUUAGGGUUCGAUUCCGGAGAGGGAGCCUGAGAAACGGCUACCACAUCCAAGGAAGGCAGCAGGCGCGCAAAUUACCCAAUCCCGACACGGGGAGGUAGUGACAAUAAAUACUGAUACAGGGCUCUUUUGGGUCUUGUAAUUGGAAUGAGUACAAUUUAAACCCCUUAACGAGGAACAAUUGGAGGGCAAGUCUGGUGCCAGCAGCCGCGGUAAUUCCAGCUCCAAUAGCGUAUAUUAAAGUUGUUGCAGUUAAAAAGCUCGUAGUUGAAACUUGGGCCUGGCUGUCUGGUCCGCCUCACCGCGUGUACUGGUUCGGCCGGGCCUUUCCUUCUGGAGAGCCUCAUGCCCUUCACUGGGUGUGUUGGGGAACCAGGACUUUUACUUUGAAAAAAUUAGAGUGUUCAAAGCAGGCCUUUGCUCGAAUACGUUAGCAUGGAAUAAUAGAAUAGGACGUGCGAUCCUAUUUUGUUGGUUUCUAGGACCGCCGUAAUGAUUAAUAGGGAUAGUCGGGGGCAUCAGUAUUCAAUUGUCAGAGGUGAAAUUCUUGGAUUUAUUGAAGACUAACUACUGCGAAAGCAUUUGCCAAGGAUGUUUUCAUUAAUCAG
rnacentral:rRNA from 1 species